AAUUAAUUUGAAUUAAAGAAAAGCGAAUCUUACUCGUAGAAAGCUCGUUGAAUAAAUUUUCCUCGUUUCCACCAUGAGUUGAUGACUUUGUGCUAACUGCAGAGUUCAUAUAGGAGAAUCUCUAGUUUUUUUCUUUUUUGGCACUCAUCAUGGAUACAGCCGGAAUUCAGAAGCAGUCAUUCGGUCAAACGGAAAUCAACUGGGACAAGCUUCACAAAACUAAAUUCUAUGUUGCUGGAGCUGGAAUUUUUUCUGGAAUUACAGUGGGACUUUAUCCAAUGUCAGUUGUGAAAACCAGGAUGCAAGUAGCGUCACACAAUGCUGUAGAAAGAAAUGCUUUGUCUGUCAUAAAAGGCCUCCUAAAAACAGACGGGAUUCGUGGUUUAUAUAAAGGUUUUGGCACUGUCGUGACAGGAGCCAUACCUACCAGAAUAAUAUUUCUUACUGCAUUAGAGACAACAAAACUAGCUGCACUGAAGAUGUUAGCGCCAUUCAAACUGUCAGAGCCUACACAAGCAGCUGUAGCAAAUGGGGUUGCUGGCCUGAUGGCAUCUUUUUGUUCACAAGCUGUAUUUGUUCCAGUUGAUGUGGUUAGUCAGAAACUGAUGGUGCAAGGAUAUUCAGGCCAUGCAACCUAUACUGGGGGCGUGGAUGUUGUUCGUAAGGUGGUAAAGUCUGAGGGGAUUCGCGGUCUGUAUAGAGGCUUUGGGCUCUCAGUUCUCACAUAUUCUCCAGCCAGUGCAGUCUGGUGGGCAACCUAUGGUGCAAGUCAACGAGUCAUUUGGAGAUUUCUGGAUGAUGGCAAUGCUGCUCCGUCCGAAGGAAAAGUUCUUUUGGUUCAAGCUGCUGGAGGAAUUUCUGCUGGUGCAACUUCAACAUGUGUAACAACCCCAUUAGACACCAUUAAAACUCGCUUACAGGUGACUGGGCAUGACAAAAGACCCACAACAAAGCAAGUGGUUAGAAGUUUGAUUGCUGAUGAUGGAUGGACUGGCUUUUACAGAGGAUUUGGCCCAAGAUUUUUCACCAUGUCAGCUUAUGGAACAUCAAUGAUUCUGGCUUAUGAAUUUUUAAGUAAUCUUCUGACGAUAAUAGUUCACAUUUACGGACUGAAAUGAAAUAACAAAUGCAAUCGAUAGAUUUACGAAGAGAGGCCACUGUACUUUCAUGAUCGGAGCUACAUGAACUAGCCUUAAUAAACGUCAACAAGCAGAACUGUCGAAUGAGAACUUGUAUUUUGAAUCUGGAGUGUAAAGAACUCUAUUUUUCAUCAAAUGUCAAAUCAAUGAAGCUUGAGAAUGAAUGGAAAUCGAAGCAUUUCAUCUAAAACUAAAACAAUCAUCAUAUUUGUGUGCAAUAUACAAUUCAUGUAGCCAUCAAAACAAAACUGGAGCAGAUAUGCAGUAUCAAUUUUUGGAAUCAAGGGCUUGUUUUCCCCGACUACAUCGUUUCCAGUUGUCGAAUGUCCAGGGACACGUAGUGGUCAAGAGUGAUGAUGCUUUCAAAUUUGAGUCAUGUUGUAGGCAUUCAUAACCG